rnacentral:rRNA from 1 species
UGGCGGACGGGUGAGUAAUGUCUGGGAAACUGCCUGAUGGAGGGGGAUAACUACCGGAAACGGUAGCUAAUACCGCAUAAUGUCGCAAGACCAAAGAGGGGGACCUUAGGGCCUCUUGCCAUCGGAUGUGCCCAGAUGGGAUUAGCUAGUAGGUGGGGUAAAGGCUCACCUAGGCGACGAUCCCUAGCUGGUCUGAGAGGAUGACCAGCCACACUGGAACUGAGACACGGUCCAG